rnacentral:rRNA from 1 species
AUGAACGCUGGCGGCAUGCCUAACACAUGCAAGUCGAUCGGUAAGGCUCUUCGGAGUACACGAGCGGCGGACGGCUGAGUAACGCGUAGGAACACACCCUGCAGUGAGGGAUAAGACACCGAAAGGUGUUCUAAUACCGCAUACGGUCUUCGGAUUAAAGCAUUUAUGCGCUGAAGGAGUGGCCUGCGUCAUAUUAGAUAGUUGGUGAGGUAAUGGCUCACCAAGUCGAUGAUGUGUAGCUGGUCUGAGAGGAUGAUCAGCCAGACUGGAACUGAGACACGGUCCAGACUCCUACGGGAGGCAGCAGUGAGGAAUAUUUCACAAUGAGCGAAAGCUUGAUGGAGCAAUGCCGCGUGCAGGAUGAAGGCCCUCGGGUUGUAAACUGCUUUUAUAAGAGAAGAUUAUGACGGUAACUUAUGAAUAAGGGACGGCUAACUACGUG